rnacentral:rRNA from 1 species
UAAGGUGGCAUUACCGCAAGUGCUCCACCCGUUCCCAUUCCGAACACGGAAGUGAAAUCUUGCAGGGCCCAUGAUAGUCCUUUACUGGGCGAAAGUAGGUCGCCGCCUUAC